UACGGAGGAUGCAAGCGUUAUCCGGAAUGAUUGGGCGUAAAGCGUCCGCAGGUGGCUGUGUAAGUCUGCUGUCAAAGAGCGAAGCUCAACUUCGUAAAGGCAGUGGAAACUACACGGCUGAGAGUGCGUUCGGGGUCGAGAGGGAAGUUCCUGGUGUAGCGGUGAAAUGCGUAGAGAUCGAGGAAGAACACCGGUGGCGAAGGCGCUCUGGACUAGGCC
rnacentral:rRNA from 1 species